AGUUAUAUAUUGUCUGCAUAUAUUACAUGCCCCUAUCAGUGAUUAAUACAAAAGAUUAUCUGUGGAAAUUCUGUUCUCAGGGCAGUAACUGGAAGCCAUUGGUUUGCACCUGAAGGCAUCAUUUGAAUACUACCAGGUUGUUCAGCGUGGGACCUGAUCCUGAAAGUUGCCGAGCACCUACCUCUGACAGUGGGAGAUCAACGUGAUCCAGUUUGCAGCCUUCCUAACCUGUGAAGAAGAGGUAGACUUGUCAAGUUUUCAAAAUGCAGUAUACUGAAAAGGUCAGAGUAGAAGAGUCUGACAGAACAUAGCUUGGAUGCCUGCCUUUGGCUGUAGCCCCAGACUCCUGAAGAAGAUGAAGACAUCCCUACAUGCCUAUAUAUGGAAAGAGGCCAACGUGGAUGCCAUCAGAAGGAUUCAACUGAGCAUAUGCUGAGAAAAUUGUGCCAUCCAUACUGCACAUGGGAAAGGGCUGACUGAACACUCCAGUAUAUUGAAGUUUAUGGCCCUGAAAAGGAAACAUAGGUUUGUGGUAAAUAUCAUUCAGGGAUAUGAGAACUGGUAUUUCCUGGCUCUGGAUCACAGUGCUUUCAACACAUUCUGUUCAUCUACCUCUGUUUCCUGCCUGACUGACUAUGUGCAAAGUGGUAUCUCUCCAGUGUUCUCACCUUCACUUGUUCCCUGAACAAGGCAAAGGUAAGAGAAACUCAGGCAGAGCUAAAAAUGUCUUUCUGAGGGGGCACUGAGAGAAAAGGGACCAUUUGGAUUUUUACACCUUUUUAUAGCUGUCCGGUGCCCACAUCUUAGGAAAAGUGCAUAACUUGUGUUUUUGAGCUCUGUUACUUUGACUGCAUUAUGACUGAACUGGUCCCGUGCUGCUGUUCUGCCAUGGCAUUUCAUUUAUACACAUUGCUUUCAGACUUAGUGCCUACAGUAUGUUUGCCACGUUAUACAGGUUUCCCUAAGUACCUUCUGCAAUAAGACUUAUCUAUUUGGUUGUCUGAAUUCCUCACAGACUCUUCACCUCUCUCCAUCCACUCUUCAGGUAUUUUAUUUCAGAACUCAAAUGUCAAUAAAUGUGAU